AGUGGCGAAAGGGUGCGUAACACGUGGGCAAUCUACCGAGAAGUGGGGCAUAGCUCGCCGAAAGGCGAAUUAAUACCGCAUGUGACCCUGGGUAACCUUACCUGGGCGUUAAAGCCGGGGCAACCUGGCGCUUUUUGAUGAGCCCGCGGCCUAUCAGCUAGUUGGUGAGGUAACGGCUCACCAAGGCUAUGACGGGUAGCUGGUCUGAGAGGACGACCAGCCACACUGGAACUGAGACACGGUCCAGACACCUACGGGUGGCAACAGUCGAGAAUUUUUCACAAUGGGGGAAACCCUGAUGGAGCGACGCCGCGUGGAGGAUGAAGGCCUUCGGGUUGUAAACUCCUGUCAUUGGUGAACAAGGCAGGCCGGGUAAUUCCGCGCCUGUUUGCUAGUAGCCGAAGAGGAAGGGACGGCUAACUCUGUGCCAGCAGCCGCGGUAAUACAGAGGUCCCAAGCGUUGUUCGGAUUUAUUGGGCGUAAAGGGUGCGUAGGCGGCGGAGUAAGUUGGGUGUGAAAUCCCGGGGCUCAACCUCGGAAUUGCAUUCAAUACUGCUUCGCUCGAGUACUGGAGAGGAGACUGGAAUUUACGGUGUAGCAGUGAAAUGCGUAGAUAUCGUAAGGAAGGCCGGUGGCGAAAGCGAGUCUCUGGGCAGUUACUGACGCUGAUGCACGAAGGCCAGGGGAGCAAACGGGAUUAGAUACCCCGGUAGUCCUGGCAGU
rnacentral:rRNA from 1 species